CAGCAGCCGCGGUAAUACAGAGGGUGCAAGCGUUAAUCGGAAUUACUGGGCGUAAAGCGCGCGUAGGUGGUUUGUUAAGUCAGAUGUGAAAUCCCCGAGCUUAACUUGGGAACUGCAUUUGAAACUGGCAAGCUAGAGUCUUGUAGAGGGGGGUAGAAUUCCAGGUGUAGCGGUGAAAUGCGUAGAGAUCUGGAGGAAUACCGGUGGCGAAGGCGGCCCCCUGGACAAAGACUGACGCUCAGGUGCGAAAGCGUGGGGAGCAAACAGGAUUAGAUACCCGCGUAGUCCCUGUCUCUUAUAC
rnacentral:rRNA from 1 species